rnacentral:piRNA from 1 species
UAGCUCAAAUGGCAUCUGUUCCCAAGAGU